UUCCCUUUGUCAUCCUAUGCCUGGGAAUAUAUGAAGGGGCUGGGAAUGCAAAGGGAUGU
rnacentral:pre_miRNA from 1 species